UGCCGAAACCCAUCGCCAUAGAACCGUGCUGCGGGAACAAGGCCGCCGUCCUGACCGUCUUCCUCUGCUUGCCCAGAGGGAUCAGCGGGGUUCCUCCGCCGGGCCAAUCAGGUCUGGCAAUCGCAAGCGCAUUGAUAGACAUAUCCCAACACAAGUCAUUGGACUGUAAGGAUAAAAGCUCAUGUGUGCGAAAUCGGAAGCCGCACCCGCCGACCAGACAAGGGACUUGUGUCUGAAACCGCCAAAAAAAAAGAGAAGCCAGGAUGGAUUUUGACAGUCGUCGAUUUUCUUUUUUUUAAUUUUGUCGUCGUUGUUUUCUUUAACCUAAAAAAAACCGGCUUCCACUGAAAAGGUCCGCUGCCACCGGCCUUCCCCUGACGUGGGCCCACCAGCUCUCGCCAUCAGGACCUUCCAGGGUCAGCGGGGAGGACACCCGUGCGUGUGUCCCGGGUGGAGGAAGCGCCGGAGUUGGGCCAUCUUGGAACGACUCGAGAGAGAGCUGCCGAAACGUUCAGAUAAAAAAAAAGGACAAAAUAUAAUUCUGUGUAAAUAUAUUGUGAACGUCCACGGAAGGUGGAAUGUGAGUUUGCAGCAUGUCCGUAGCCAGUAACGAGGAGAGGGUAGAUAUUAAAGGGGUACAAGAUAAGCACUAUCUAGACUUUUUACAUUAUCCU